rnacentral:lncRNA from 1 species
AUAAACACAUAGAAAAGGGGAAAACUAACCUUAAAACAGAUAUGGGUAUUGCUGGAGCAUGGACUCCCGAGUCUCCCAAGUGCACUCUUCUAGGUUGUGGUGGUUCCACAGAACUUUCACCAUUGGUAUCUCCUUGUUUCUCAGCUUUCUGAUCUGGGUGUCAAGGAUCCGCACUGGUUGCUCUACAUAGGUGAGGUCACUUAAGAUUUCCACCUCAGGUUCACU